AUGGCGUGGGGCGGCGAGGGGAGGGACUGGGCCGCGGCGGACUCGGCGGCGGAGGGAGGAGCGCGGCUGCGGGCGGGCGGCGAGCGAGGCGCUCAAAGUCAGCCUCGCAGACAUUGCAGCAGAGCCCCGAACUCGGGAGGCGGCGGCGGAGGAGGUGGAGGAGGCGCGGCGAGGCGCAGGGACGACCCGGCCCCACGCCCGCCCGCCACCCGCGCGCGCCCGUCCGCCCGUGGCCUCGCGUCCGCCGCUGCGCAGGGAGCGCCGCUGGUCGGAGGGAAGAGCUCGCCGGGGCGCCGGGCCAGGACGGGGCGGCGGGCGCCUUCGCGGACCGAGCCUGACGGAGCCGGAGGCUGGGAGCCGCGGCGGCCUCGGGAACUCCGAAUGGAACAACUAUCCGCACAGAAAACCACCUUCAUAAGAACGAAAAAUCAGGUGAGUGAUUAUAAUACCUGGUUUUCACAUCCUACUAAGGAAAACGCACUGAAAAGGACAGAAAAAGCAGUCUUGAAUUGCCAAUGCCACCCCUACCACAUUCCCUGGCAGCCAUGCGACUUGGAGAGAGAAUCUGUGCAUGUUGGGGAGGAAGAACGCAUUGAUUGUGGGACUUUGCACUGGAACUCAAUACUACCCCGUUAUAGCAGAAAGCAAAAGGGUACAAAAUCAGCCAGUACCCAUGAAAGGGAGCAGUGACAGCAGCCCUAGCCAGAGGUAAAUCAUUCAUUCCAUUGGUCAGAACCUGAGUUCCUGCAAGCCCUGCCAUUUGGGUGCUCUGGGGUUCUAUAUAAACUUGAAAGGUAAUCUAGGCCACAAGGACUGCAAUUCCGGGGCAAGUCCUAGUGUUUUGCUGGGUUCAGAGAAGUGGGCUUGAAAUGCACACAACCUGCUUAGACAUCAGUGGGGGCUGCCAAGGGAGUGCUUGAGCCACCCCUACCCCAGACCUAGGUAAUAGAGCUCCCAGCUCCCCAGUUGAAGAUAGGAG
rnacentral:lncRNA from 13 species